rnacentral:rRNA from 1 species
CCUACGGGUGGCUGCAGUGGGGAAUAUUGGACAAUGGGCGCAAGCCUGAUCCAGCAAUGCCGCGUGUGUGAAGAAGGCCUGCGGGUUGUAAAGCACUUUGAGUGGGGAAGAAGGCCUGGGGGUUAAUAGCUUCUGGGAUUGACGUUACCCACAGAACAAGCACCGGCUAACUCCGUGCCAGCAGCCGCGGUAAUACGGAGGGUGCGACUGGUCAUCGGAAUUACUGGGGGUGUUGCGCGCGUCUGCUGUGAAAGCCCUGGGCUUAACCUGGGAACUGCAGUGGAUACUGUUUGACUGGAGUGUGGUAGAGGGGUGUGGAAUUUCCGGUGUAGCAGUGAAAUGCGUAGAGAUCGGAAGGAACACCAGUGGCGAAGGCGGCACCCUGGACCGACACUGACGCUGAGGUGCGAAAGCGUGGGGAGCAAACAGGAUUAGAUACCCGUGUAGUC